AGUGAACGCUGGCGGUAGGCCUAACACAUGCAAGUCGAACGGCAGCACAGUAAGAGCUUGCUCUUACGGGUGGCGAGUGGCGGACGGGUGAGGAAUACAUCGGAAUCUACUUUUUCGUGGGGGAUAACGUAGGGAAACUUACGCUAAUACCGCAUACGACCUACGGGUGAAAGCAGGGGAUCUUCGGACCUUGCGCGAUUGAAUGAGCCGAUGUCGGAUUAGCUAGUUGGCGGGGUAAAGGCCCACCGAGGCGACGAUCCGUAGCUGGUCUGAGAGGAUGAUCAGCCACACUGGAACUGAGACACGGUCCAGACUCCUACGGGAGGCAGCAGUGGGGGAUAUUGGACAAUGGGCGCAAGCCUGAUCCAGCCAUACCGCGUGGGUGAAGAAGGCCUUCGGGUUGUAAAGCCCUUUUGUUGGGAAAGAAAAGCAGCAGGUUAAUACCCCGCUGUUCUGACGGUACCCAAAGAAUAAGCACCGGCUAACUUCGUG
rnacentral:rRNA from 1 species